UGUAAGCGUAUACCAAAGUUGUUGCAGUUAAAACGCUCGUAGUCGGAAUUUGGCAGUUCCGGAUGUGUGCACGUCGUGUGCGCACUUCGCGGGGAUUGCUUUUGUGGUCUUGCGUAGGAUGAGGCACUUUUAUUAGUGAACGUCCUCACGCAACCACUUUUUACUGUGAGAAAAUCAGAGUGCUCAACGCAGGCAUUUGCCGUGAAUGUAUUAGCAUGGAAUAAUAGAAUAGGACUUGGUUCUAUUUUGUUGGUUUGUUGGGACUGAGUAAUGAUUAAGAGGGACAGUUGGGGGCAUUUGUAUUUCGGUGCUAGAGGUGAAAUUCUUAGAUUACCGAAAGACAAACUGCUGCGAAAGCGUCUGCCAAGGAUGUUUUCAUUGA
rnacentral:rRNA from 1 species